CGAAGGGGGCUAGCGUUGCUCGGAAUCACUGGGCGUAAAGGGUGCGUAGGCGGGUCUUUAAGUCAGGGGUGAAAUCCUGGAGCUCAACUCCAGAACUGCCUUUGAUACUGAGGAUCUUGAGUUCGGGAGAGGUGAGUGGAACUGCGAGUGUAGAGGUGAAAUUCGUAGAUAUUCGCAAGAACACCAGUGGCGAAGGCGGCUCACUGGCCCGAUACUGACGCUGAGGCACGAAAGCGUGGGGAGCAAACAGG
rnacentral:rRNA from 1 species